CGACGACGACGUGGUUGACAAUUUUUGCCUGUCUUGUACAUUAUCUUGCGCAUUCUGAGUUUAGGGUCAGGAGUGAAGACAGAUUAGAGAUUCAUGUCUAGCUGUUUGUGAAUGCUGACUCAAAUCCUUACCCUGAUCAGGAUAAAACAGCGAGACAUGAAUCCAUAUCCCGUCUUCGUUCUUCUGCCUUCGUUCACAACGAAUAUUUUGGCAAAAUUCGUUGUGAACUUCGUUCUGCACGAAGGCAGAAGGACAGAGACGGGAUAUAGUUUCAUGUCUCGUUGUUCCCUUCUGGAUCAGGGCAAGAAUUAUGGUCAGUUUUCAUAAACAGCGACACAUGGGAAGACACGUUGAGCAACUACCAGUGACG
rnacentral:lncRNA from 1 species